rnacentral:tRNA from 1 species
AUUGAAGCUGAAGUAUUAACGUACACUUUACUUACACUAAAGAGGUUUUCUUAUUGAAACGGCUU